rnacentral:rRNA from 1 species
UACGUAGGGAGCAAGCGUUGUCCGGAAUCAUUGGGCGUAAAGCGCGUGUAGGCGGCCCGGUAAGUCCGCUGUGAAAGUCGGGGGCUCAACCCUCGGAUGCCGGUGGAUACUGUCGGGCUUGAGUACGGAAGAGGCGAGUGGAAUUCCUGGUGUAGCGGUGAAAUGCGCAGAUAUCAGGAGGAACACCGAUUGCGAAGGCAGCUCGCUGGGACGGUACUGACGCUAAGGCGCGAAAGCGUGGGGAGCGAACAGG